rnacentral:tRNA from 1 species
GGCGAGGUGGUUAAGUGGUAAAGCGCUUGGCUUUCGAACCGAGGAAUCCUGGGUUCAAAUCCCGAUUUAGACU